AGCUUUGUACAGUGGCUGUAUCGUAGCCAAUGAGGUUUAUCUGAGGUGCAAUUAUUGCUAAUUGAAAACUUUUCUCUAAUGCUGAAAGGAUGUGACAUACUGUCAGCCUUGGCAAUAUGUGAGAGUCUCUACAGAGA